rnacentral:rRNA from 1 species
UCGAGAAUCUUCCGCAAUGGGCGAAAGCCUGACGGAGCGACACCGCGUGCGGGAUGAAGGCCUUCGGGUUGUAAACCGCUGUCGUAGGGGAGAAAGGGUCGUUGAAGAAACGACUUUGAUCUAUCCUAGGAGGAAGUCCGGGCUAAGUUCGUGCCAGCAGCCGCGGUAACACGAACCGGACAAACGUUAUUCGGAAUUACUGGGCUUAAAGGGUGCGUAGGCGGUGCGGUAAGUGCGGUGUGAAAUCCCACGGCUCAACCGUGGAAUUGCGCUGCAUACUGCCGUGCUAGAGGGAGACAGGGGUAAGCGGAACUGAUGGUGGAGCGGUGAAAUGCGUUGAUAUCAUCAGGAACACCGGUGGCGAAAGCGGCUUACUGGGUCUCUUCUGACGCUGAGGCACGAAAGCCAAGGGAGCAAACGGGAUUAGAUACCCCCGUAGUCCCUGAGCGGGCUGGCAAGGCGCAU